rnacentral:rRNA from 1 species
CCUACGGGAGGCUGCAGUGGGGAAUAUUGGACAAUGGGGGCAACCCUGAUCCAGCCAUGCCGCGUGUGUGAAGAAGGCCCUCGGGUUGUAAAGCACUUUCAGUGAGGAAGAACGCCUGGUGGUUAAUACCCAUCAGGAAAGACAUCACUCACAGAAGAAGCACCGGCUAACUCCGUGCCAGCAGCCGCGGUAAUACGGAGGGUGCGAGCGUUAAUCGGAAUUACUGGGCGUAAAGCGCGCGUAGGUGGCUUGAUAAGCCGGUUGUGAAAGCCCCGGGCUCAACCUGGGAACGGCAUCCGGAACUGUCAAGCUAGAGUGCAGGAGAGGAAGGUAGAAUUCCCGGUGUAGCGGUGAAAUGCGUAGAGAUCGGGAGGAAUACCAGUGGCGAAGGCGGCCUUCUGGACUGACACUGACACUGAGGCGCGAAAGCGUGGGUAGCAAACAGGAUUAGAUACCCCGGUAGUC